UACGUAGGGGGCAAGCGUUGUCCGGAAUCAUUGGGCGUAAAGCGCGUGUAGGCGGCUCGAUAAGUCUGCUGUGAAAGUUCAGGGCUCAACCCUGAAAUGCCGGUGGAAACUGUCGGGCUAGAGUCCGGAAGAGGCGAGUGGAAUUCCUGGUGUAGCGGUGAAAUGCGCAGAUAUCAGGAGGAGCACCAAUGGCGAAGGCAGCUCGCUGGGACGGUACUGACGCUGAGACGCGAAAGCGUGGGGGAGCAAACAGG
rnacentral:rRNA from 1 species